rnacentral:rRNA from 1 species
GACGAACGCUGGCGGCGUGCCUAAUACAUGCAAGUAGAACGCUGAAGGAGGAGCUUGCUUCUCUGGAUGAGUUGCGAACGGGUGAGUAACGCGUAGGUAACCUGCCUGGUAGCGGGGGAUAACUAUUGGAAACGAUAGCUAAUACCGCAUAAGAGUAGAUGUUGCAUGACAUUUGCUUAAAAGGUGCAAUUGCAUCACUACCAGAUGGACCUGCGUUAUAUUAGCUAGUUGGUGGGGUAACGGCUCACCAAGGCGACGAUACAUAGCCGACCUGAGAGGGUGAUCGGCCACACUGGGACUGAGACACGGCCCAGACUCCUACGGGAGGCAGCAGUAGGGAAUCUUCGGCAAUGGACGGAAGUCUGACCGAGCAACGCCGCGUGAGUGAAGAAGGUUUUCGGAUCGUAAAGCUCUGUUGUAAGAGAAGAACGAGUGUGAGAGUGGAAAGUUCACACUGUGACGGUAUCUUACCAGAAAGGGACGGCUAACUACGUG